UACGGAGGGUGCAAGCGUUAUCCGGAUUCACUGGGGUUAAAGGGUGCGUAGGAGGGCAGGUAAGUCAGUGGUGAAAUCUCCGAGCUUAACUUGGAAACUGCCGUUGAUACUAUCUGUCUUGAAUAUUGUGGAGGUGAGCGGAAUAUGUCAUGUAGCGGUGAAAUGCUUAGAUAUGACAUAGAACACCAAUUGCGAAGGCAGCUCGCUACACAUAUAUUGACUCUGAGGCACGAAAGCGUGGGGAUCAAACAGG
rnacentral:rRNA from 1 species